GGGUAUAAAAAGGUGUAAGAGAGUACUCUUGCCAUCACAACAACAAAAGAAUUUUGGCGAAAAUACAAAGACAUGUCUUCACUUUUUCCCUAUCCUCCUUGUGAAUCUGGAAAAUGCGACAGUAAAUAUUCGUGUCCUUCUCACCUGUUGCUCAUUUUUGAGUUGCACUAUACAUUAAUAUUUAUAAGUUUCGCUUUAAAAAUAUUUUGUAUUUAUUUUUAUUUUUAUUUUAUUUUUUGUAAUUUACUAGUAAUUCAUUUGGUUUAUAAUGAAAUUUCUAUGCAGAGAUGACGUGGCCUAACACAGUCGGUAUGGACGGAAACCAAGCCAAGAACAUCAUCGAGAAAGACAACCAAAAUGUGACUGGCGUGAUAGUUCCCAAAAGGAAUAAAGUAAUUCAAGAUUAUUGUUGUAACCGAGUUUGGAUUUUUGUUGAUGACCAUGGCAAAGUUGCGCUCAUACCAAGGAUUGGAUAGGAAAGCUGAAGAAAAGAGAAAUUGGAAAUAAAAUAUGAUGUUUGAGAAAAAGAAAUUUUCUCAAUACAACAAGGAAUAAUCAAUAAAAUCAGCUUUAAUACAUUGCAAGAGUUUCUCUUUCUUUUGAUUAAUCGAUUUCAUAUUAUUGGGA
rnacentral:lncRNA from 1 species